rnacentral:rRNA from 1 species
CAAUGGAGAGUUUGAUCCUGGCUCAGGAUGAACGCUGGCGGCGUGCCUAAUACAUGCAAGUCGGACGCAAUGCUUCGGCAUUGAGUGGCGAACGGGUGAGUAAUACAUAAGCAACCUGCCCCUGUGAGGGGGAUAACUGCUGGAAACGGCAGCUAAGACCGCAUAGGCAUACAUGACGCAUGUCGAGUAUGUUAAAUAUCCUACGGGAUAGCACAGGGAUGGGCUUAUGACGCAUUAGCUAGCUGGUGAGGUAGAGGCUCACCAGGGCGACGAUGCGUAGCCGGCCUGAGAGGGUGGACGGCCACACUGG